rnacentral:rRNA from 1 species
UGGGGAAUAUUGCACAAUGGGGGAAACCCUGAUGCAGCGACGCCGCGUGAGCGAAGAAGGUUUUCGAAUCGUAAAGCUCUGUCCUAUGAGAAGAUAAUGACGGUAUCAUAGGAGGAAGCCCCGGCUAAAUACGUGCCAGCAGCCGCGGUAAUACGUAUGGGGCGAGCGUUGUCCGGAAUUAUUGGGCGUAAAGGGUACGUAGGCGGUCUAUUAAGUCAGGUGUGAAAGCGUGAGGCUUAACCUCAUUAAGCACUUGAAACUGAUAGACUUGAGUGAAGGAGAGGAAAGUGGAAUUCCUAGUGUAGCGGUGAGAUGCGUGGAUAUUAGGAGGAAUACCGGUGGCGAAGGCGACUUUCUGGACUUUUACUGACGCUCAGGUACGAAAGCGUGGGGAGCAAACAGG